AUACGUAGGUGACAAGCGUUAUCCGGAUUUACUGGGCGUAAAGGGUGCGCAGGCGGCCAUUUAAGUCAGCGGUUAAAUCGUGGGGCUCAACCCCAUUCUGCCGUUGAUACUGGGUGGCUUGAUUGCGGUCGAGGUUGGCGGAAUUCGUUGUGUAGCGGUGAAAUGCAUAGAUAUGACGAAGAACACCGAUUGCGUAGGCAGCUGACCAGACCGCAAAUGACGCUCAUGCACGAAAGUGCGGGGAUCGAACAGGAUUAGAUACCCUGGUAGUCCGCACAGUAAACGAUGAAUACUUGUUUUCGGCGAUAUAAUGUCGGAGGCAAAGCGAAAGCGAUAAGUAUUCCACCUGGGGAGUACGCCGGCAACGGUGAAACUCAAAUGAAUUGACGGGG
rnacentral:rRNA from 1 species